rnacentral:rRNA from 1 species
GCCGCGGUAAUUCCAGCUCCAAUAGCGUAUAUUAAAGUUGUUGCAGUUAAAAAGCUCGUAGUUGAACUUCAGACCUGGCCGGGCGGUCUGCCUAACGGUAUGUACUGUCUGGCCGGGCCUUACCUCUUGGUGAGCCGGCAUGCUCUUUACUGGGUGUGUCGGGGAACCAGGACCUUUACCUUGAGAAAAUUAGAGUGUUCAAAGCAGGCCUAUGCCCGAAUACAUUAGCAUGGAAUAAUAAAAUAGGACGUGCGGUUCUAUUUUGUUGGUUUCUAGAGUCGCCGUAAUGAUUAAUAGGGAUAGUUGGGGGCAUUAGUAUUCAGUUGCUAGAGGUGAAAUUCUUGGAUUUACUGAAGACUAACUUCUGCGA